GUAAGUCAGAUGGUCGCGUCUGCAAGUACCGAAAGGUCGCAGAUGAGGAACGUCCGGGCUCCACAGAGCAAAGGUGCUGGGUAACCCCCAGUGGAGGCGACUCUAAGGAAAGUGCAACAGAAAUAAACCACCUAUUGCAUGCAAUAGGAAAGGGUGGAAAGGUGAGGUAAGAGCUCACCGUUUCUAGGGUGACCUAGAAAGCCAUGUAAACCCCACCUGGAGCAAGACCGGAUAAAGACAUAUGUGGCUGCUCGUCACGUCUUAGGUAGGUUGCUAGAGCCUUAUAGGUAACUAUAGGUCGAGAUAGAUGACUAUCAAAUACAGAACCCGGCGUAUAGACUUGGUU
rnacentral:RNase_P_RNA from 1 species